rnacentral:rRNA from 1 species
CAGUAGCCGCGGUAAUACGUAGGGUGCGAGCGUUAAUCGGAAUUACUGGGCGUAAAGCGUGCGCAGGCGGUUGUGUAAGACAGGUGUGAAAUCCCCGGGCUUAACCUGGGAACUGCGCUUGUGACUGCACAGCUAGAGUAUGGCAGAGGGGGGUGGAAUUCCACGUGUAGCAGUGAAAUGCGUAGAGAUGUGGAGGAACACCGAUGGCGAAGGCAGCCCCCUGGGCCAAUACUGACGCUCAUGCACGAAAGCGUGGGGAGCAAAUGGGAUUAGAUACCCCGGUAGUCCCUGUCUCUUAUAC